rnacentral:tRNA from 2 species
GGGGGCGGAUGGGUGCUGGUGUGCCUUCUGGUCUUCAAAACCAGUGCGACGUCUCAACGGCGUUGGGUGGGUUCGAUUCCCACACGCUCCCGCCA